rnacentral:rRNA from 1 species
UACGGGGGGGGCAAGCGUUGUUCGGAAUUACUGGGCGUAAAGGGCUCGUAGGCGGCCAACUAAGUCGGAUGUGAAAUCCCCAAGCUUAACUUGGGAACUGCAUCCGAUACUGGAUGGCUUGAAUCCGGGAGAGGGAUGCAGAAUUCCAGGUGUAGCGGUGAAAUGCGUAGAUAUCUGGAGGAAUACCGGUGGCGAAGGCGGUUCUCUGGGACGGUACUGACGCUGAGACGCGAAAGCGUGGGGAGCGAACAGG